rnacentral:rRNA from 1 species
UACGGAGGGAGCUAGCGUUGUUCGGAAUUACUGGGCGUAAAGCGCGCGUAGGCGGCUUUGUAAGUUAGAGGUGAAAGCCCGGAGCUCAACUCCGGAACUGCCUUUAAGACUGCAUCGCCUGAAUCCGGGAGAGGUGAGUGGAAUUCCGAGUGUAGAGGUGAAAUUCGUAGAUAUUCGGAAGAACACCAGUGGCGAAGGCGGCUCACUGGACCGGCAUUGACGCUGAGGUGCGAAAGCGUGGGGAGCAAACAGG